ACCACCCCUGCCCUCCCAACUGCUGAAAAACGAAAGCUGUCUUCAAAAAACCUGACAUCUAAGAAGCCUGGAGAAUGAAAAUUUUCAGGUGCAGACAGGAUCCAGCCCAGCCCUAACCCUGGCUUUCAAGUAACAAUGAAACAAGACAAUUCACUCUAGUUAGAGAAUUCUAGAGUCUAGCUUAGCCUCUUUCAUCCAAAGAACCAGUGCAUGCUACAGAUGGGAAAGAUGCAGCCAAACGACAUAACCGAACAGGCGACUCACAGACUGGUAAGUCCACAGAGGCUUAUAAUUGGAUGACUUUCCAAAUGCACUACCCAGAGCUUCCCCAAGGGAGUGUGUGGGUGUGGGAAUGGAGCUGAUGAGGCCCCACCAUCUCCCUCCACCUAGCUCACGUUUGACAACUUCUACACAUCUUCCUUUUAGGGAGAACACUGAGGCCAAAGGGAAACACACCUGUCCAGGAUCAUGAAAUGAGCUGGUAGCAGUUUAGUGCUCCCCCAGUUACAAAUAUACCAGAAGAUAAACGCGGGGAAGGGAGCGCCAAGACACUCAUGUGCAGAGGUCAAUGUGCCAGCGGGCAAUGAUUCAACCCAGGCAGCGGCUGCCUAGGCCUUCUGGUUUCCCUGGGGUGUGUCCCCCACUUCCUGUGGCCCAGGCCUGCCUAGCCUGGCAGCACUAAGCAGAUCUGGAAUUCAAGCUGCCGUCCCAGCUGCUGUUAGAAGCCUGGCUCCCUCCCUAACUGGGAGCAAUUUCACUUCAAAGGCCCCUGCCUACAUAGUCUCAGCCAAGUUCUUGAAAGCAGUUUUUCCCUUGAAGCACGUUGGGGGGAAAAUGGAUGAUGCCCUCUGUUUGAGAUCAAUACAGUAAUUAUGUUGGACAAGCUCUUAGGAGUAACUUCACGGGGGAAUUCAGCCUCACGAAUGAGAAAGUGGGAAAAUACAGCAUGAGUAGAGCCAGCGUGUCACUUGUGCGAUGCAGGCCAUGCAGCGGCAGGAUCCAGUUCCUUUGGGACUGCGGUCAUGCCUCCGCUUGGCGGGACACAGCAAAGGCUCAGUCCUGUAAUGAGCUGGUGCAGGUGCCAAUUCUCACUAGAAGAGGUCAGAGAACUCUUUGACGAGUCAUGGGACACCUUCUGCCAUCUCCUUCUCUCCCAAAUCUCAUGAAGCUCAGAAAUCUUACCAUCUGAAAAUAUCACCAACUUGUCUAAAAUGUAUGCAUUAAAAAAAAGGUAAUGAAUGUGAGAUGGUUAGCAGUAUGCUAUAUAAUACUUUGAUAAAACUGGUCCUGUGGUUUAUUUGUUAGGGAAGGGGAGCACAAGAAACAGUUCCAAGAACCAUACUCACUAAAUCUCAAGAGGUAAAUAAACAACGGAACACAUGAUUCUCCAAUCAGGAAGUAGUCUGACUGGCCAAUCUUCUGUAUCGCUCCCUGCUGCCUGGUGCCUGCACGGCUCUGCCUCCAAGGCUCUCAGCACCUGUUCCCGACGUUCUUGGCAGUGACAAUCAAAACACUGGAAGCUGCCCCUCUAGGGCAGGACCUGCCCAUCACAAAGACAUAAAUAUUCAACACGCAUUCUGAACAUGUUUCAAAUAUCUCUCCUCAUGACCCUGCAAAUAAACACAGAAUCAAGGUGGCUUAGUUUGGCCAUUAGCUUCAUUUUCCUUACAUGCCAAGAGGAAAGAUUUAUGUAACAGGAUGACUGAACACUUGUCCAGGCAUCAUUUUAGCUCUAAGGGCUUCCAACAUUAUUAGGUAGGCUCUCAAGUUCUCAGAGAAGGGGUUCCAGGUUACUUGGCUAUGUGGUUACCUCUUUGUGAAGACUUGCAGAAAAGAAGAUUCCACAGCGUUUUCUCACACAGACAGUCUAUUAUAAACCACAGGGCAUUUUACCCCAACACUACUUAUUACUGCUUGAGCCUUGGUGUGGGAGGGUAAAAAAGGCAGCAAGUACUGCCCUGCUCUCAGAUAGGGAAACUACGACAAAGCAAAAUGACUUUUCUUGAGUUAUAAGGUAGAUGGUGAAAUGACCUGGAACACAGGUGAGCCAGCUUCCCAAACCUGCCCUUUCAACACUCACCUGCACAUGCCAUGUGCUAUCUGAACAACCAGCAAAACUCCUUAGCUCAACUCACUCAACAGCCAUUUAAAAAAAAAACAAGGGUUUGGGAUGUGUGGGUUGGAAAGGUUUUCUAUCUCCCUAGUAGACCUUCCCCAGCUCAAGAGGACUUGGCACAAUGCUGUUGCUCAGUGAAACAUGUCAGUCAAGGUGUUACCACAUCACAUGUUCAUAUAAAUUUUAAUGAAAAAAGGAGCCCCUUGUUGGCAAGCAAAUCCUCAGAUGGUAUCGGUGUCCACACAAUGUCUGGGGUUUGGGGAUGGUGAACUGCUAGCUUUCGUAAUCAGAAAUUCAACUGGUGACAAAGCCCUGCACCUCAUGGUGCGGGUGUGCACAGGGUACUGGCAAAGGGGUGAGAAUCUUUCUAUGAAAAUGCUGUUUCUUUCACUGGACUGAACUCUGUGCACAGUCGCCUAUAACACCAACUAACUAACAUCAAGAUGCCGAAGAGAAAGGAUGUGAUACUCCUCGCUGAUUCUGUAAUGGGAAAGACAGGCUUUAAUGCUCAUUUCACUUCUGUGGUUUGUUUAGACAGAGAUAAAUCAUCCUUUGCCUAUAUAAACUGGGUUAUUCAAUCCCAGCAUUAGUUUUAAAUAUUAACCAGGGUCUGACCAAGUCCAUGACCACACAGAUCAACCAACUGAACAUUUAAAGUGACACAAAAAUUCACUCUGAUGAUGAUUCCAUGGAAAUAAAAGGACACUCAUUUCUUUUUAAUUUUGCAGAAAGGUAACAGUAAUUUUAAAUGACAAAGUUCACUAAUGCACAGAAAGAUACUUAUUCCCCCAGGGAAUGAGGACAUCUAAUUGGCAACCUGUAUUUCAGGUAAUUGCAACAAAGUGUAUACCAGCAUGGUAUGUUGUAUACAUUAGUUUGGGAUUAAGGAAUGGUCAGAAAUAGGAGGGAAAACCUUAAGCUUCAUAAUACCAGGAGACUGAUCUAAUAUAAAAAGAAGUACACUGGUGUGACAUAAAAAAAACCCCGGAGUCUGCCCUUCAAUGCAGUCACAGCCCAGGAAACAAUGGUCUCUAUUUGCAAAUACAAAGAAUUCAGUUUUAGGUUAUUAACACCUUGUACCUGAUACCCCUGUACAAAGCACUGGAGGUGGCAGUGCAAAGCCACUAAUACAUGUAUAUACUUCUUCGUAAGUGCUUACUGUCAGUGAGAAGCAGGU